GACGAACGCUGGCGGCGUGCUUAACACAUGCAAGUCGAACGGAAAGGCCCUUCGGGGUACUCGAGUGGCGAACGGGUGAGUAACACGUGGGUGAUCUGCCCUGCACUUUGGGAUAAGCCUGGGAAACUGGGUCUAAUACCGAAUAGGACCACGCGCUUCAUGGUGUGUGGUGGAAAGCUUUUGCGGUGUGGGAUGGGCCCGCGGCCUAUCAGCUUGUUGGUGGGGUAAUGGCCUACCAAGGCGACGACGGGUAGCCGGCCUGAGAGGGUGACCGGCCACACUGGGACUGAGAUACGGCCCAGACUCCUACGGGAGGCAGCAGUGGGGAAUAUUGCACAAUGGGCGCAAGCCUGAUGCAGCGACGCCGCGUGAGGGAUGACGGCCUUCGGGUUGUAAACCUCUUUCGCCAGGGACGAAGCGUAAGUGACGGUACCUGGAGAAGAAGCACCGGCCAACUACGUG
rnacentral:rRNA from 1 species